rnacentral:rRNA from 1 species
AGCAGCCGCGGUAAUUCCAGCUCCAAUAGCGUAUAUUAAAGUUGUUGCAGUUAAAAAGCUCGUAGUUGAAUUUCGGGAUUGGCGUAUCGGUCGUGCCUCACGGGGUAUGAACUGGUGCAGUCAAUUUCUCACCUUCUGGAGAACCGCGAUGUCCUUAAUUGGAUGCCGUGGGGAACCAGGACCUUUACUUUGAAAAAAUUAGAGUGUUUAAAGCAGGCAUUUUUGCUUGAAUACAUUAGCAUGGAAUAAUAAAAUAGGACGGCAUGGUUCUAUUUUGUUGGUUUCUAGGACCACCGUAAUGAUUAAUAGGGAUAGUUGGGGGCAUUAGUAUUCAAUUGUCAGAGGUGAAAUUCUUGGAUUUAUUGAAGACUAACUACUGCGAAAGCAUUUGCCAAGGAUGUUUUCAUUAAUCAAGAACGAAAGUUAGGGGAUCGAAGACGAUCAGAUACCGUCGUAGUCUUAACCAUAAACUAUGCCGACUAGGAAUCAGACGAUGUUAAUUUUUUUAAUGACUCGUUUG